AGGAAUUAAUUAGGAAGACUUUAAUGAGAAAAGAUACAGUAAUUUGAAAAGGUAUGUUAACUUUAUAAAAAGAAAAUAUGGUAAUUUAGUCAGUAAUUGGCCAACCCAUUGAACUUCCAAAAUUAAUUUAGAGAGGAUAACUAUUAACUAUUUGAGAAGUCCAAUAGUCUUGUAUACGGUAAUAAAUAAUACUAUUGUAGUGUUUCUGAGGUUAGGAUAGAAUUGGCUACAAUAUUAGUGACUGGUCGACACAUAUGAAGAGUGUCGGACUGAGGCGGAGUCGUUUCUGUACGAAAUGGAUAUAGAAAUGGACUCAGCGCACUCAAAUAAGCAAAAUUGGAGUUUUGCCAGAUUCGGGCACCUAGAACAGGGUUUGGGUCGCCCAGAACUUGAGUGCAGGACUAAGCCGAACUGAAAGCCAAUUCGGAUCCUAAUUCAGGCGCCCAGAAGUGGGUCUGAAAAUUUACCUCGUGAAUAUCGUUUGAGCUGACACGUGUUAGUGGUAGGUGAGAUUCGCCGGACCAGGUUUCGGGCGCAGCACACCGCGGGCGGAGGAGCCGAAGUGGGAGUUUUAUUUGGCCUGAAGGUUUUGGACGCCCAGAAUGUUGUUUCGAG
rnacentral:lncRNA from 1 species